UGGGAGCUUGCUCCCUGAAGUCAGCGGCGGACGGGUGAGUAACACGUGGGCAACCUGCCUGUAAGACUGGGAUAAUUCCGGGAAACCGGGGCUAAUACCGGAUAACUCUUUUCUUCACAUGAGGAAAAGUUGAAAGAUGGUUUCGGCUAUCACUUACAGAUGGGCCCGCGGCGCAUUAGCUAGUUGGUGAGGUAACGGCUCACCAAGGCCACGAUGCGUAGCCGACCUGAGAGGGUGUUCGGCCACACUGGGACUGAGACACGGCCCAGAUUCUUACGGGAGGCAGCAGUAGGGAUUCUUCCGCAAUGGACGAAAUUCUGACGGAGCAACGCCGCUUGAGUGAUGAAGGUUUUCGGAUCGUAAAAUUCUGUUGUCAGGGAAGAACAAGUACCGGAGUAACUGCCGGUACCUUGACGGUACCUGACCAGAAAGCCACGGCUAACUACGUGCCAGCAGCCGCGGUAAUACGUAGGUGGCAAGCGUUGUCCGGAAUUAUUGGGCGUAAAGCGCGCGCAGGCGGUUCCUUAAGUCUGAUGUGAAAGCCCCCGGCUCAACCGGGGAGGGUCAUUGGAAACUGGGGAACUUGAGUGCAGAAGAGAAGAGUGGAAUUCCACGUGUAGCGGUGAAAUGCGUAGAGAUGUGGAGGAACACCAGUGGCGAAGGCGACUCUUUGGUCUGUAACUGACGCUGAGGCGCGAAAGCGUGGGGAGCAAACAGGAUUAGAUACCCUGGUAGUCCACGCCGUAAACGAUGAGUGCUAAGUGUUAGAGGGUUUCCGCCCUUUAGUGCUGCAGCAAA
rnacentral:rRNA from 1 species